rnacentral:rRNA from 1 species
GACGAACUGUGCAAACGUUAUUCGGAAUCACUGGGCUUGAAGAGUGCGUAGGCGGUUUCGUAAGUAGGGUGUGAAAGCCCUCGGCUCAACCGGGGAAUUGCGUCCUAAACUGCGAGGCUGGAGUGAGGUAGGGGUGUGCGGAACUUCCAGUGGAGCGGUGAAAUGUGUUGAUAUUGGAAGGAACGCCGGUGGCGAAGGCGGCAUCCUGGACCGGCAUUGACGCUGAGGAGCGAAAGCCAGGGGAGCAAACGGG